AGAACGAACGCUGGCGGCAUGCCUAAUACAUGCAAGUCGAACGAACUCUUCGGAGUUAGUGGCGCACGGGUGCGUAACGCGUGGGAAUCUGCCCCUUGGUUCGGAAUAACAGUUGGAAACGACUGCUAAUACCGGAUGAUGACGAAAGUCCAAAGAUUUAUCGCCAAGGGAUGAGCCCGCGUAGGAUUAGCUAGUUGGUGAGGUAAAGCUCACCAAGGCAACGAUCCUUAGCUGGUCUGAGAGGAUGAUCAGUCACACUGGAACUGAGACACGGUCCAGACUCCGUACGGGAGCAGCAGGUGGGGAAUAGUUGGAACAAGUGGACGAAAGCCUAGAUCCAGCCAUCGCCGCGUGUGUAGAAGAGGUC
rnacentral:rRNA from 1 species